rnacentral:rRNA from 1 species
GAUGAACGCUAGCGGCAGGCCUAAUACAUGCAAGUCGAACGGUAAGGCCCUUUCGGGGGUACACGAGUGGCGGACGGGUGCGUAACGCGUAUGCAACAUGCCUUCCAGCGGGGGAUAUACCAGGGAAACUUGGCGCAAUACCCCAUAGAAUUACGGGACCGCAUGGUCUUGUGAUUAAAACUCCGGUGCUGGGAGAUUGGCAUGCGUGACAUUAGCUAGUUGGCGGGGUAACGGCCCACCAAGGCGACGAUGUCUAGCUGGUCUGAGAGGAUGAUCAGCCACACUGGGACUGAGACACGGCCCAGACUCCUACGGGAGGCAGCAGUAGGGAAGUAUU